GGCGGAGUGGUGGAAUUGGUAGACACGCACGUUUCAGAGGCGUGUGCCUAACAGCAUGCGAGUUCGAGUCUCGCCUCCGUCAC
rnacentral:tRNA from 1 species